rnacentral:rRNA from 1 species
GCGAGCAUCUGCCAGGAUGUUUUCAUUAAUCAAGAACGAAAGUUAGGGGAUCGAAGACGAUCAGAUACCGUCGUAGUCUUAACCAUAAACGAUGCCGACCAGCGAUUAGGAGACGUUGAAUACAAAACACCACCAUCGGCGCGGUCGUCCUUGGCGUCUCGGUCCUUCACGGGGCCGGGGCGCGGGGGCGGCUUAGCCCGGUGGCACCGGUGAAUGACUCCCCU